UACGGGGGGGGCAAGCGUUGUUCGGAUUUACUGGGCGUAAAGCGUGAGUAGGUGGCUCGCUAAGUCGGUUGUGAAAUCCCUGGGCUCAACCUGGGAAUUGCAGUCGAUACUGGCAAGCUAGAGUUCGGUAGAGGGUGGCGGAAUUCCCGGUGUAGCGGUGAAAUGCGUAGAUAUCGGGAGGAACAUCGAUGGCGAAGGCAACCACCUGGGCCUGAACUGACACUGAGACACGAAAGCGUGGGUAGCAAACAGG
rnacentral:rRNA from 1 species